rnacentral:rRNA from 1 species
UACGUAGGGGGGCAAGCGUUGUCCGGAUUUAUUGGGCGUAAAGAGCGUGUAGGCGGCCAUACAGGUCAGCUGUGAAAACUCGAGGCUCAACCUCGAGACGUCGGUUGAAACCGUAUGGCUAGAGUCCGGAAGAGGAGAGUGGAAUUCCCGGUGUAGCGGUGAAAUGCGCAGAUAUCGGGAAGAACACCCGUGGCGAAGGCGGCUCUCUGGGGACGGUACUGACGCUGAGACGCGAAAGCGUGGGGAGCGAACAGG